rnacentral:tRNA from 1 species
GAUUUAGCUCAGUUGGUUGAGUGUCUGCCUAAUACGCACAAGGCCUGGUUUUAAUCUCCAGCACCAUCA